GGACUGCGCAGGCGCUCGUUCGCUCCGCCUCUUCGAUCUCCGAAGAGUGUUUCCGUCGUGUUCGCCAGCAAUUCCAGACGACGAUUCGUGCGCCUGAGAUCCCGGGAGUCAUUCACCGCCGGAGUAUCGAAACCGGUCGGCUGCAGCGGAAACCGGUAAUGGCAGGGCAUUUCGCACGUGGAUCAGGAAAAUGGGACUUUGUUGUGUGACGGGGAAUUUUUAUCACGAACGCCUUCAUCGUCGAGAAAUUUCGAGUAAAUGGCCGACGUAGCUGAGCAAUAAAUGAAAUGUCCAAAACUUCAACUUCGUUUAGUGCUGUUACUAACAUUUUAUACUCACAAGUAACAUCCCAUUCUGACUGCGAAAGAGUGCCGAUUUUGCGAUGAUCGGGCAAGUUCUGCAUGUACUGAAUGGCAUGCUGAUAAUCCU